AGUGAGCGCUGGCGGUAGGCCUAACACAUGCAAGUCGAACGGCAGCACAGUAAGAGCUUGCUCUUACGGGUGGCGAGUGGCGGACGGGUGAGGAAUACAUCGGAAUCUACUUUUUCGUGGGGGAUAACGUAGGGAAACUUACGCUAAUACCGCAUACGACCUACGGGUGAAAGCAGGGGAUCUUCGGACCUUGCGCGAUUGAAUGAGCCGAUGUCGGAUUAGCUAGUUGGCGGGGUAAAGGCCCACCAAGGCGACGAUCCGUAGCUGGUCUGAGAGGAUGAUCAGCCACACUGGAACUGAGACACGGUCCAGACUCCUACGGGAGGCAGCAGUGGGGAAUAUUGGACAAUGGGCGCAAGCCUGAUCCAGCCAUACCGCGUGGGUGAAGAAGGCCUUCGGGUUGAAAAGCCCUUUUGUUGGGAAAGAAAAGCAGCAGGUUAAUACCCCGCUGUUCUGACGGUACCCAAAGAAUAAGCACCGGCUAACUUCGUG
rnacentral:rRNA from 1 species